AUGACUUCAUCACAGCACUGCCAUGGCUUCUCCCUCUGUCUUCUUAGUCCUAUGCUUAACUCCGUCUCUAGUUCAUUUUUCAUCCCGCUGUUGCCGUUCAAUUUUGCUCAAGAACAUCUCAAAACCUCUGUCUCACUCUUUUCUUCGAUGAUGCUGCUCGAUUACAUUCACGCUUCUCCGAUAAAAUCAUCACAACUUCACCGUGUUCCUCCAUAA